UGGGGGAUAUUGCACAAUGGGCGAAAGCCUGAUGCAGCGACGCCGCGUGGGGGAUGAAGGCUUUCGGGUUGUAAACCUCUUUCGCUAUCGAACAAGGCCCGCUUAGGGGGGGUUGAGGGUAGGUGGAGAAGAAGCGCCGGCUAACUACGUGCCAGCAGCCGCGGUAAUACGUAGGGCGCGAGCGUUGUCCGGAAUUAUUGGGCGUAAAGGGCUUGUAGGCGGCUUGUUGCGCCUGCUGUGAAAACGCGGGGCUUAACUUCGCGCGUGCAGUGGGUACGGGCAGGCUUGAAUGUGGUAGGGGUGACUGGAAUUCCAGGUGUAGCGGUUGAAUGCGCAGAUAUCUGGGGGAACACCGAUGGCGAAGGCAGGUCACUGGGCCAUUACUGACGCUGAGGGGCGAAAGCAUGGGUAGCGAACAGG
rnacentral:rRNA from 1 species